AUAAUACUCCCUCCGUCCGGAAUUACUUGUCAUCAAAAUGGAUGUGUCUAGAACUAAAAUACAUCUAGAUACAUCCAUUUCAAUGACAAGUAUUUUCAGACGAAGGGAGUAGUAG
rnacentral:pre_miRNA from 1 species